rnacentral:rRNA from 1 species
UACGGAGGGUGCGAGCGUUAAUCGGAAUUACUGGGCGUAAAGCGCGCGUAGGCGGUUUUUUAAGCCAGAUGUGAAAUCCCCGGGCUCAACCUGGGAACUGCAUCUGGAACUGGGAAGCUAGAGUAUGGUAGAGGAAGGUGGAAUUCCACGUGUAGCGGUGAAAUGCGUAGAUAUGUGGAGGAACAUCAGUGGCGAAGGCGGCCUUCUGGACCAAUACUGACGCUGAGGUGCGAAAGCGUGGGGAGCAAAC